rnacentral:rRNA from 1 species
AUGACCGGAAGCAAGGACUUGGUGGUGGACGUGCAAAAGAUUCCAUCCAUGCCCACCAAUGUUGAGUGGGGUGAUGCCUCAUCUUCUAAGGUAUUGGGACUCGACAAAGUUGUCAUUUCUCAUGAUCUUACGAUCGAGAAGGUCAUGCUUGUUGAGUCCCUUGCAUACAAUUUACUUUUCGUUCAUCAACUAGCACUCAUGGGCUUUACCACUUUCUUUGAUAUUGAUCCCGUGGCCCUCUUGUGGAGCAAGACUCUUAAAGUAGCCUUUGUUGGGCAUGUCGAGAACGGUCUCUAUGUGAUUAACUUUUCGAAGCGACCCACUAAGACCACGACAUGCCUAAUGGCUAAAGUUGACGUGGGAUGGCUUUGGCAUCGCCGUUUAGCCCAC